rnacentral:tRNA from 1 species
GGAGGCCAUGGCCGAGUGGUUAAGGCGCGCAUCUGAUAGGUGUGAGACCCGGGUUGGAUCCCCGUCUCCA